GAAUUUCCCUCUCGGAAGCCAAUCGCCGAAAGGCAUUAAUCCGCUCUCUUCAAGGAAAAAAAAAUUAGAGAAAGUUCGGCCACAAGAAGAAAGAAACUUUCAGAUUCCGACGUGUCGAUUAAUUUUGGCCUCAACUUACUCGUAUGUUCCCCCCAUUUCUCUGCUCCCACGUUAACCCAAGAUGCCCUGCUCCGUGACUACUGUCCACCAACCGAGUUUCAGCGCUUUACCCAAGUGGUCUUCUUCGUCAAAGAUCAAACCUUUGAGGCGGAAUCCCACUUUGGCGUUCGAUUUCCGCCGCUUGAGAUCGAUCGACCAUGGUGGGUCUGGCGCGAGCGUCCUCGCUCGUGGGAAAGGUGGAGUCUUGAGUCGGGGGCACAUGGCCGAGACCGUGAGAGCUGCUUCUUUUGGGAGCGGCAGCGGACGCAGCAAAGAUAUUAGGAUUCUUGAACAGGAAGGUUUUAUUGAUGGGUCGGCUGGUUUCGCGGCUGGCGGUUUGGAAUCGACUCUUAAUCGUCUGGUUGAUGCCCUUCUCCGUUUGGUCGUUCUUGUUUCGAAAGUAUGCUGAUUUCGUUGCCUUUUCUUGCAAAAAUUACAGUUUGCGAUAGCGUGUCCUGUGUGUUAGGAACGAGGCUUUUGAUCGUUACAGUUUCUGGGUUCUUUUAAGCCAAGCUAGUUGCACUAGUUAGGUGGUUAAUCUUGUGCUUCCCUGUUUCGUGUCUCUGUUUGCUUGAAAUUUUCUGGUGAUUGUACUGCCUUAUUGGAGUUGAAUUGUCAGGCAAAGCUAUCAUCAAUCAAAGCCCGAUUAAAGUUGGAAAUGAAAAUACAGUGUAGAAGAGCAAAGCUCUCCACAUGCUUUGCAAUGCGUUGGACAGUAAUUUUCUUUUUCGUAAAAGAACAGCUUCUUAUAGCAUGAUUGGCUCAUCUACUCAGAAAAGCUCAGAAUGCCAUAGCCAGUCGUAUACCUAUCGCCCGUGUGUUAACUUCCAAGAAAAUCUUUGCUGAUGAUUGCUGAGCAAGUGGCUCGUUGCUGGCGUUUUUGGUGCCAUCAUUUUAUUGAGGCAUGAUGCUGAAUCUCGGUGGGUUCCCAUGGGUUCGGAUGUAAAUAGCAUGCUUUCGGUCGUACUCAAACGAAUAUUGAAUCAAGAAAGGCCAGUGUCCACUGUUCUUUGUUUUAGCCCAUGUCGCCUACAUAGCUCCCACAUGGCAUCGGAACAUAAGACUCCAAAAAUGAUGAACCCAGAAACAGAAUGAACCGUAUGCUAAUUUGGUUUGGGCAUAUUAACGGACACAUGGGGAGCAAUGAGUUGGGGAGCAAAUAUUGACCUGUUCCAAGCUCAAGCGCACACCCAAACUCAAAAGUACUCAACAAGCGACAUUCGGAUUCAACAAAACCAACUCAUUCAAGUCAAGAACAAGAGAAAUGGAGUCGACUCUCACCUCGCUCAAAACAGGAAAGAUCAAGCAGGGCAAAGAGGUUCAUGGAAUUAGCCUCCACCAUGGGGGUUCCUACCCGGCCCGGAGACUAUGGCUAGAGGGCGAGCCCUAGACGAAUCAGGCUACAGUCGGCCGCCUUAGUGCCUCCGAGCCAAGAUCCUGGGGGACAAUGAUGGGACCCCUCCUCCCAGAUUGGUGGCCCAUCUGCGCUCCUUUGCAAGCUUCGCUUGGAGGGAGGAACAUCGAAGUAGAGCUUGCCGCACAGAAUUCAACGCGUCCAGACACCAUCGGCAUUGCUCACCGGCGGAGAGGAUGACGAAGCCGCGGGAUUAGCUAAAGGCAGCGUUGACAUUUCUGCGCAAGCAAGAGAGAGAAAAAGUUUGGGUCUCCAAAUGAGUUCUCCCCUUUCCCACGUUCUUCUUCUCUCCUCUUUCACUCCUUUCUUCUCUCCAGCGAAACACCCCCAGCCAACCUCCCUCUUUAGCUCUUCCAGCUGGGUAAGGAUAAGCAAUUCCUAGUUCCAUACAAAUAUCACUUAAAACUUGAAACAUAUUCAUUGGAAUGAGUUCCGAGUUCCUCAUUUUUUUGACAAAA